ACUACGGGCGGCAGCAGUGAGGAAUAUUGGUCAAUGGUCGGGAGACUGAACCAGCCAAGCCGCGUGAGGGAGGAAGGUACAGAGUAUCGUAAACCUCUUUUGUCAGGGAACAAAGGCGGGGACGUGUCCCCGGAUGAGUGUACCUGAAGAAAAAGCAUCGGCUAACUCCGUGCCAGCAGCAGCGGUAAUAAGGAGAAUGCCAGCGUUAUCCGGAUUUAUUGGGUGUAAAGGGUGCGGAGGCUGUGUGUUAAGUCAGCGGUCAAAGCCCGGGGCUCAACCCCUGCCCGCCGUUGAAUCUGGCAGUCUCGAGUUGGAGCGAAGUAUGCGGAAUGCGGGG
rnacentral:rRNA from 1 species